AUUGAACGCUGGCGGCAGGCCUAACACAUGCAAGUCGAGCGGAUGAAGGGAGCUUGCUCCUGGAUUCAGCGGCGGACGGGUGAGUAAUGCCUAGGAAUCUGCCUGGUAGUGGGGGAUAACGUCCGGAAACGGGCGCUAAUACCGCAUACGUCCUGAGGGAGAAAGUGGGGGAUCUUCGGACCUCACGCUAUCAGAUGAGCCUAGGUCGGAUUAGCUAGUUGGUGGGGUAAAGGCCUACCAAGGCGACGAUCCGUAACUGGUCUGAGAGGAUGAUCAGUCAACCCUGAAAGUGAGAAAGGGCCAGAAUCCUACGGGGGGGAGGCGGUGGGAAUUUUUGACCAUUGGGGGAAACCUGAUCCAAGCCAGCCGGGGGGUGUAAGGAGGGUCUCCGAUUGUAAAGGCACUUUAGGUGGGAGGAAGGGGAGUUAAGUAAUACCUUGCUUGUUUGACGGUACCAAAAGAAUUAGCCACGGCUAAACUCGUU
rnacentral:rRNA from 1 species